UACGUAGGUGGCAAGCGUUGUCCGGAUUUACUGGGCGUAAAGAGCGCGCAGGCGGUCGUUCAAGUCGCGUGUGAAAGCCCCCGGCUCAACUGGGGAGGGUCAUUCGAUACUGAUCGACUCGAAGGCAGGAGAGGGUAGUGGAAUUCCCGGUGUAGUGGUGAAAUGCGUAGAUAUCGGGAGGAAUACCAGUGGCGAAGGCGGCUUCCUGGCCUGUUCUUGACGCUGAGGCGCGAAAGCUGGGGGAGCAAACGGG
rnacentral:rRNA from 1 species